CUUACAAUCGGGUUGCUCCAUUAUCUAAAUUGUAGUUUGAAGAAGAAUCCUCAGUGGUGGAUUGGGCCUAAGUACCCUGGAAGGGGGCGCAUGAGUGGGCGAGAGCCCCAUUGUGCUUGGAAUAUAUCGCACCAUAAGGCGCGAUCUACAAGUUUGGUUGUAUAGGAAUGCAGCAAAAAUUUUGUGGUGAAUUCCAUCCAAGGGUAAAUACGGGCGAGAUACCAAUAGCAAAUAAGAACCAUGAGGUAAAGAUGAAAAGUACAUUGAAAAGAGAGUCAAAGAGUUCUUGGAAUUGUUAGGAGAGAAGUGGAUGGGGGCCAGCGAUGCGACCUGGUCGGAUGUGGAACGACGAUGAGCUAGUUCGUUGAUUAACUCAGGGCUUGGACUGGCGAUGUGGGAUGAACCAGAAGCCGAGUUAUGGUGCCAAACUGCAUGCUAACCUAGAACCCAGAAAGGGUGUUGGUCGAUUAAGACAACAGAAUGGUGGUAAUGGAAGUUAAAAUCUGCUAAGGAGUAUGUAACAACUCACCUGCUGAAUAAACUAGCCCUAAAAAUUGAUAGCACUUAAGAAUGUGACCUACACUGGGCUGUUAGGGCCAAUUCCAUGCCUUGAUGAGUUACAGGGCACGAUGGUCGUGGCAAAACAUUGAGCACGAGCACGAGCGGAGCGACUGUUGGUGCAAAUCUUCAUGGUAGUAGUAAAUAUUCAAAUAAGAACUUUGAAGUCUAAAGAGGGGAAAGGUUCCAUGUGAAUGACACUUGGACAUGGGUUAGCAUAUCCUAAGGGUCAGGGAAACCCCGACAGAUAGCGCCUAUCACGCGUACUCCAAAUGGGAAUCGGGUUUAAAUUAUUGAACCGACAUGUGGCAGUCGACAGUAAUAUUAGAAAGUCCCGAGACAUAGGUGGAAUCCUUGGGAAGAUUUAUUUUUUUCUAUUUAAUAGCCUGCCCGCCCUUGAAUCGGCUCAGGCGAAGGUAGGUCCAGCGGCUAGAAGAGCACCGCAUGUCGUAUAGUGUCUGGUGUGCUCCCAGAGGCCUUUGAAAAUCCAGAUGACCAAAUAACGUCCACGCUCGAUGGAAUAAUAUAGGAAAGGGAAGUCAGAAAAUUAGAUUCGUAACUUUGGGAAAAGUAUUAGCUCUGAGGGUUAGGAAUGAGGGUACCAGUCCAGAACCUGUCGGUGGUCGGUGGACUUCUUGAGCUGCUCCCACAGAUAGAGCAGGUCGCCGCAUAUCAUAUAGGGGAUGGAUCGGGGACGGUUCCUUUGGGGUCCUUCCCUGCACAUCGAACAACCAACUCAGAACUGGUAUGGGCAAGGGGUAUCCAAAUAUUUAAUUAAAAUAAAGAAUUGUAAUGGUCUCAAUGGAUGUUCACACAAUGUGAUUUCUUCCCAGUGCUCUAAAUGUCAAAGUGAAGAAAUUUAACAAAGUGUAGGUAAAUGAUAGGAGUAACUCUGACUCUCUUAAGGUAUCUAAAUUCCUCAUCAUCUAAUAAGUAACGCACAUUAAUGGUUUAAUGAGAUUAUACUUGUCUACUAUCCAGCGAAACCACAGCCAAGGAAACGGGCUUGGCAGAACCAGUGGUGAAAGUAUACCUUUUUGAGCUUGACUCUAGUCCUACUUUAUGAAAUGACUUGAGAGGUGUAGUAUAAGUGGGAGCCGAAAGGCGAGAGUGAAAUACCAGUACUUUAAAAAUUAUUUUACUUAUUUUGUGAAUCAAAAGUGGGGCACUUCCCUUCUUUUUGGACCCAAGGCUCUCUCUUUGGGUCGAUUCGGGAGGAAGAUAUUGUCAGGUAGGGAUUUUGGCUGGGGAGGCACAUAUGUUAAAAAAUAACAAAGGUUUCCUAUGAUGAACUCAAUGAGAAUAAAAAUAUCAUGUGGAAAAGAAGGAUAAAAGAUUAUUAGAUUAUGAUUUCCAGUACAAAUACAAACCGUGGAAGAGUGGCCUAACGAUCCUUUAGACCUUCUGAAUUCAAAGAUAUAGUUAUUAGAAAAGUUACCACAGGGAUAAGUAUCUUGUGGAAGCCAAGAGUUCAUAGCGAUGUUGAUUUUUGAUCCUUUGAUGUCGGCUCUUCCUAUCAUUAUGAAGCGGAAUUCAUCGGGCAUUGGAUGGUUCACCCAAUAAUUGGAAAGGUGAGCUGGGUUUAGACCAUCAUGAGACAGGUUAGUUUUACCCUAAAAAUGACAGUGUCGCAAUAUUAUUUCAACCUAGUGCAAGAGGAAUCAUUGAUUCACAUAAUUGAUUAUCUCGCUCGGUUGAAAACCUAAUGAGGUGAAGCUACCAUGUACUGGAUUAUGACUGAAUACCUCUAUGUUAAAAACUAGGAUAAAAGCAAUACAUAUGCCCGCUAUCGUCUUUCUAACCCGCAGUAGGGACCUCAGCCUCCAAGGGUACAUGUCGUUGGCUAAGCAAUCGUGGCGAAAGGGUCGUGGUAGCCGCCUUGAAGUACAGUUUUCAUCGAACGAUGGGUAGAAUUCUUUGUA
rnacentral:rRNA from 1 species